rnacentral:rRNA from 1 species
UGCAAGUCGAACGAUAGAUAAGAGCUUGCUCUUAUCGAAAGUGGCGCACGGGUGCGUAACGCGUAUGCAACCUACCUUAAUCUGGGGGAUAGCCCGGAGAAAUCCGGAUUAAUACCGCAUAAAAUCACAGGAUGGCAUUAUCCAAUGAUCAAACAUUUAUGGGAUUGAGAUGGGCAUGCGUGUCAUUAGCUAGUUGGCGGGGUAACGGCCCACCAAGGCGACGAUGACUAGGGGAUCUGAGAGGAUGGCCCCCCACACUGGUACUGAGACACGGACCAGACUCCUACGGGAGGCAGCAGUAAGGAAUAUUGGUCAAUGGAGGCAACUCUGAACCAGCCAUGCCGCGUGCAGGAAGACUGCCCUAUGGGUUGUAAACUGCUUUUAUCCGGGAAUAAACCUUUCUACGUGUAGGAAGCUGAAUGUACCGGAAGAAUAAGGAUCGGCUAACUCCGUGCCAGCAGCCGCGGUAAUACGGAGGAUCCAAGCGUUAUCCGGAUUUAUUGGGUUUAAAGGGUGCGUAGGCGGCCUGUUAAGUCAGGGGUGAAAGACGGUAGCUCAACUAUCGCAGUGCCCUUGAUACUGAUGGGCUUGAAUGGACUAGAGGUAGGCGGAAUGAGACAAGUAGCGGUGAAAUGCAUAGAUAUGUCUCAGAACACCGAUUGCGAAGGCAGCUUACUAUGGUCUUAUUGACGCUGAGGCACGAAAGCGUGGGGAUCAAACAGGAUUAGAUACCCUGGUAGUCCACGCCCUAAACGAUGAACACUCGCUGUUGGCGAUACACAGUCAGCGGCUAAGCGAAAGCGUUAAGUGUUCCACCUGGGGAGUACGCUCGCAAGAGUGAAACUCAAAGGAAUUGACGGGGGCCCGCAC